UCCAGUCCCUGCCCUGGCGAUCUUUACGACGUCGUGGCUUCGCUGGUGAAGCGAGUUAGCAGCGACUGGUGGUGUUCAAAGGUUCAGGGUUCUAAAGGUCAGGUCCCUCCUGCUUUGCAAGAGGAAGACAGAGAGGCUCGGCGCUGUUGACCGGCUGGGAGGCCCACCGCGGAGAUACUGUUGACGUUUGGAACGGGAAAUACUUGGUGUCUUGCAGGGAGAUACUUUGGACAUUUCGAACCGGAAAAUACUUUGUUUCCUGCAUUGUUCGCAGUUUUUAGUAGCUCCCCAGAGUCUACACACCAGAUGCCAGAAAUACCACAACCACGACCAUGGCCCAAAAAAAAAAAAAUCUCCAGGUUGUUGACAUAUGUGUUCUGAGGGUUGGCAGAAGACCAAAAAAAAAAAAAAAAAAGAUACACGUUGCUUAGUUAAAUCGGAAUUUCAGAAAAACGAAUUGUUUACUAGUAGACUGUCCCAAGUAUGAUUGUGGGACUAGGCAACAACUUGAGGGACUUUUACCUUAAGUAAAUUGGAAAUCUGAAUUUCAGAAAAAUGAAUUGUUUUUCAAUGCACUGUCCCGAAUAUGAUGUGGCACUAUAUACCAGCACGAAGAACUUUGACCUCAAGUAAAUUGUAGUUACCAUUUUCUGCAGCAGUGUUUGUUCAGUUUCUACUAGGAGUUAAGACACUGUUCUUCACACGGGGGUCAUGGUAUUGAGCAAGGUUGAUAAACUCUUCCAUUUCAGAGAGUGGCUAUCCUGGUGGAUGGUGGCAAGCAAAUAAACUUUAAGAUGCCAUAGAUUGAGGAAACGAAACAAGGAGAGAUAGAAUAAGAGAAGAGGUGGGUGAAUAAGGAAAACAUAGGCAUGUGCAACAUGGGAGAACGGAGCAUGAUUCAGCAUUGGCAAAAAGCGGAAGUGAUUCCACACACCACAUGGAUCAACCUGGAGAUCAUGACUAAGUGAAAUCGACACUGUUUCUGAGUUCACUUAGACAAGAAAGAAGAGUCUGAAAACUCUUGUCAACGGAGAAGGCAGCCAUUUGUGUCUGCAUAAGAGCUAGAACCCCAUUCAUUUCAUGUGAAAUUAUUCUGUGAUUAUUUUGCCUUAAAGGUAACUAGACUAGAGUUCAUGAAACUUAAGUCAGAGGACUGAAUUGAAGAAGGUAAUUUGCAAUAAAGCAAAGUGAAGAAAAGUCUCCCCAACCCCCAGCCUCCAGCCUAACCCACCCCAGACCCUUCAUCCCACAUUUGGACUCUCUCUAGACAAUGAUACAGGAGCCAGGAUCAUUGCUGUUCACCGUGACUUGGCAAAUUUCAGUCCUAAGUCUAGCUGAGUCAUCAUAGUGCAAAAAAAAAAAAUCUUAAUCUCAUGUGGACAAAAGAUUAUGUUUAGGGUGGUGUGGUCCAAACCUUAUCCAUACCCUCCAUUUAAUGCCAAGUGAGUAAGUCUUAGGUGUACUUUGCUCUUGAAACUUUAUUUCUAGGAUACUUGCUUGGAAAAAUGUUCCA